rnacentral:lncRNA from 1 species
CUCAUAAGAACUCCUCCAAGAAGCAUGAAUUAUUUGCAUCUCGUACCAGGCUUCUCAAUUCAUAUUUAGAACUCCCCAACCAUGCGCAAUACAGAUACACUAGCCUCUAUAAACUAAUCAAGUUCAUCGACCAAAUUAUCAUAAUCAUGUUAAACCACCUCGUCUAAAAUUUAAGCAGCAAAAGAUGAAACAAAUUCAUUAAAAAAUUGCCUUCAAACUGCCCUCUUCUUGUGGAUGAAAAGAUAGUAGGAGAUAAGAUAAUGUGUGUCCUUUACAAUUGAAAUUUCCUUAUCUUUGUCCUUACUGAAGUACACAAACUUCUAAUUUCAGGAAAUUUUCCAUAUAUUUCUGCUUCUUCUACUAAAGAUACCACAUCUAGCAAGCCUACAUAAAAAGCAACUUUAAUCUUACCAUCCUAAGCGUAACUUAACCUAGUCGAGAUUUAAGUAUGUGCCCAUUAUUUUAACAUCACAUGCAUAUACUUGCAUAAACAUUGUAUAUAUGUAUAUAUACAUGCAUGUACAUACAUAUAGGAUGUGGCUCGACUUGACCUCCAACCAUAGGUGCAAAAGAACAAAAUUUACCAUCGAGGACAAUACAAAAGCUAAAAACUUCAUACAAUCUUGUCAUACUCCUCAUAAUUAUACACCGAGUGUAGCAUAUAUCCAAAAGUGAUCAAAGAUGGAGAGAUACUACACUCGGUUUAUAAUUAUGAGUAUGACAAGAUUGUACAUACAUAUACGUAUAUAUGUGUGUGUAUAUGUGUGUGUAUUUCGGUUCACACCUUCUUAUAUAACUCUUUAAGGGUCACUUUCAUGCAUGUUAAUUUCAGCUUCCCUGCACUCCAAUCUUGAGGGUUUUGGGCUUGGC